ensembl:lncRNA novel transcript
UGGUUAGAACUGAGGAGGCCCUACCAGCAGGCAAAAGUCAGGCCUUGUCCAGCAAUGGAGGUACAUGCACCUCUGCACCAGAUGCUCCUGCCUUUUUCUUUCGUAAUUUUGAAGGACCUCAGCUCCCUGCCUCCUAGAUUUUUGCUACUAUGGUCUCAGAGCUGUGUAAUUUGGAUGACUGAGAUGGAAAAACCUCUGGAAAACCUUUAUUUAUGUUGAAUAAGUAUUCCUUGAAUCCUUCCUCAGCAUCCUGGGUUAUAUUUGAUUUGCUCUGCUCAUGAUAACUUCAUGCCAAGGAGACUGCUAUCAGUUCUCUUAAAACAGAUCCCAACUCCCUGCUCAUAGUGGCCAAAGGAAUGGAGAUUUCAGGCUGAGUUUACUUACGUGCAUCAUCUUCAUCUAUCCAGAAGCAUCCCUGCACAAAACCUCUGUUUCUACCCUUCCAUUCACUCGGCUCACUUUUCUGCUCUUAGUACCCUUUGUUUCUUGUGAACUCUCCAGCAGGAGUGACUUGCAAUUUGUAUCCACUGACACUUAAGUUCUCGGAAGUGCUGGAGAAGUGUAUGGAAGUAAAUUAUCCUGAUGUAUAAUUUUGUGCAUGUGAAACUCACCGUGGAAGUGCCUAUCUAAUUUCAGUAUGGAACACAGCUAAACAUUUGGAUCAAUAAUCCAGUUUUGAAACCACACUUCAUUUAAAGUACAAUGUGCUGAAAAAAAUGAAAAAAGGGUGCUUUCAAAUUUGUACUUAGUAAACUUUCACUAGAUCACAUCA